rnacentral:tRNA from 1 species
AGCAGUGUGGCCUAGUGGAUAAAGCAUGGCCCUAUGAGCCAGAGGACCUGGGUUCUAAGCCCAGCUCCACUA